rnacentral:RNase_P_RNA from 1 species
GGAGCCGGCCAUGCAGUCGCGGCAUCGCCCUGCGGUGUCGAGGAAAGUCCGGGCUCCACAGGGCAGGACGCCAGGUAACUCCUGGGAGGCGCGAGCCUACGGAAAGUGCAACAGAGAGUAGACCGCCUACGGUCCGCAUGCGGACCCGGCAAGGCUGAAAGGGUGCGGUAAGAGCGCACCGCGCGUUCGGUAACGAGUCGUGGCACGGUAAACCCCGUCCGGAGCAAGACCAAAUAGGAGGACGACGUGCGGCCCGCAUAGUCCUCGGGUAGGUCGCAUGAGGCGUUCGGCGACGAGCGCCCCAGAUGAAUGACUGCGCGCGACAGAACCCGGCUUAUCGGCCGGCUCCUUUU